ensembl:lncRNA
CCUCAGCCCAAGUCUCAGAUACCAGAGGAUUGCUCAGAAGAUGUCUUCAGGGUAACCAAGUUCCUGCCAUAGUUCACAGCCCACUGAAACCUGACAAGCAAAAAUUCACACCAUAAAUUAUUGCGUGUCGUGGUCGUAGCUGCGGUGACACAAACUGCAAAAGCACUCGAUUUCCGGGCCUCAAAGACAGGAAGAAAGAGGAUGAAUCAAGCUAAGGGAUUCAUUUGGUCCUUCUUACCGGUGUCUUCCCAACCCAGCAGUUGAACCAGCGUCUCCUGAAGUCUCCUGCAUUGGCAGAUGGAUUCUUUACCACUGAGCCGCCAGAGAAGCACUGAAGCAAACACAAAGGUAAGUGGGAGUCUGGGUUUCCCUGAUAAUUCAGAAGUGCAGCCAGCAUUAAAAAGUCUGUUCUAUUAUGGCACCUAUCUAAGUAUGUAUGCAUGUUAAUCUCAGAAAUGGCUUAAGACUACACUUCCUGUGGGCAGUCUAUCCCAUCAAAAUAGUACUGCCUUUUGGUUCAGGUUAUAGACUUUGAAGUCAGACAAUAUGCUUUUAGACUUUUGGAUAUGAUGAGUCUGCAACUUUGGAAAAGUUACCAAAAUUAUCAAGCUACUCAAGGGGACCUCAGUUUUCUCAUACAUGCUAGUUGCCUCCCUGAAUUACUCUAAAGAUUAAAUGAAAUAAUAUACACACAACAUAUAAGCUAUUUCAUAGUACACUUGACAUGCAAUAAAUUUUCAAUGAAUAAUAAUUCUUUUUUUUUUUUAAUUUUAUGGGUAUAUUGAAGUGGUGCUAGUGGUAAAGAACCUGCCUGCCAGUGUAGGAGACAUGAGACAUGGGUUCGAUCCCUGAGUCAGGAAGAUAUCCUGGAGGAGGGCAUGGCAACCUCCCCAGCUUCCCUGGUGGCUCAGAUGGUAAAGAAUCCACCUGCAAUGUAGCAGUCCUGGGUUUGACCAUGGGAUGGGAAGAUCAUUUGGAGAAGGGAAUGGCAACCCACUCCACUAUUCUUGCCUGGGAAAUCCCACAGAGGAGCCUGGUGGACGACAGUACAUGGAGUCACAAAUAGUUGGAUAUGACUGACAAACACAUUUUAUUAGAUCAUCAAAAAGAGGAGAAAUUCACUUAGAUAAAUGUUUGAGUAAAAUGAUAUGCCUGCUAUAAGACACAGGGAGCCCAACCUGGCAUCUUGUGAUGAUCUUAAAGGGUGGGAAGGAAUAGAGACUCAAGAGGCAACUCACUCCAGUAUUCUUGCUGGAAAUUCCAUGGACAGAGAAACCAUGGGCUACAGUCCAUGGGGUUGCAGAGUCGGACAUGACUUAGUGAGUAAAACAAACAAACACACACAUAUAUAUAAUUAUGACUCAUUUACACUGUUUAAUGGCAGGAACCAGAAUAUUGCAGAACAAUUAUCUUCCAAUUAAAAAAUAAAUUUAAAAAUGGAUAUAGCUUCUAACAUAUAUAUUCUAUAUGUGUAAGCAUAGAUACUACAUAUAUAUACUACAUGCAAUGUGAUAUGUGCACAUUAUAUAUAUGCAUAUAUUAUAUAUCCAUGUUUAUAAUAUGCAUGUCUAUAUUCAAGUGGAAGAAAUACAAACAACGUAAAUUGUACAAAAAGUUUUUUGUUUGUUUUAUUUGUUAAGUCAUGUUAUACACUUUACGACUCCAUGGGCUGUAGUUUGCCAUACUUCUCCAUCAAUGGGAUUUCUCAGGCAAUAAUACUGGAGGAGGUUGCCAUUACUUUCUCCAGAGGAUCUUCCAAACUUAGGGGUUGAACCCAUGUCUCCUGCAUUGGCAGGCAGAUUCUUCACCUCUGAGCCACCAAGGAAGCCCAAGUCUAGGAAAAAUAUUUCAAAAUUGAAUGGACAUGUAUUAAACAUUUAUCAUGCCAAGUGUUGUGAUUUCUAUAAUUGUAAAUAAUACAAAGCAUAUAGGAUAAAUUCAAUGGUUUGAUUUGAAAUAACAUUGCAAUAAAUGAGCAAAGAGUUGUUUCUAACUGCAAUAUUCUUUUCAAUGAAUUGAACAGACCUUGUACAGAGGUGGUUUCCAUAUUCUCUACGUUGUAAAGAGAAAACACUGGUCAUAGUAAAUACCCUCUUCCAACAACCCAAGAGAAGACUCUACACAUUGACACCACCAGAUGGUCAACACCAAAAUCAGAUUGAUCAUAUUCUUUGAAGCCAAAGAUGGAGAAGCUCUAUACAGCCAGCAAAAACAAGACCAAGAGCUGACUGUGGCUCAGGUCAUGAACUCCUUAUUGCCAAAUUCAGACUUAAAUUGAAGAAAGUGAGGAAAACCACUAGACCAUUCAGGUAUGACCUAAAUCAAAUCCGUAUGAUUAUACAGUGGAAGUGAGAAAUAGAUUUAAGGGACGACAUCUGAUAGACAGCGUGCCUGAUGAACUAUGGACAGAAGUUUGUGACACUGUAGAGCAGACAGAGAGCAAGACCAUCCCCAAGAAAAAGAAAUGCAAAAAAGCAAAUUUUCUGUCUGGGAAGGCCUUACAAAUAGCUGUGAAAAGUAGAGAAGUGAAAAGCAAGGGAGAAAAGGAAAGGUACACCCGUUUGAAUGCAGAGUUCCAAAGAAUAGCAAGGAGAGAUAAGAAAGCCUUCCUCAGUGAUCAAUGCAAAGAAAUAGAGGAAAACAGUAGAAUGAGAAAGACUAGCUAUCUCUUCAAGAAAAUUAGAGAUAUUAAGAGACCAUUUCAUGCAAAGAUGGGCUCAAUAAAGGACAGAAAAGGUAUAGACCUUACAGAAGCAGAAGAUAUUAAGAAGAGGUGGCAAGAAUACACAGAAGAACUGUACAGAAAAAUUCUUCACUACCCAGAUAAUCACAACAGUGUGGUCACUCACCUGGAGCCAUACAUCAUGGAAUGUGAAGUCAAGUGGGCCUUAGGAAACAUCACUAUGAACAAAGCUCGUGGAGGUGAUGGAAUUCCAGUUGAGCUAUUUCAAAUCCUAAAAGAUGAUACUGUGAAUGUGCUUCACUCAGUAUGCCAGCAAAUUUGGAAAACUCAGCAGUGGCCACAGGACUGGAAAAAGUCUGUUUUUAUUCUAAUCCUAAAGAAAGGCAAUGCCAAAGAAUGCUCAAACUACC